AUUGAACGCUGGCGGCAGGCUUAACACAUGCAAGUCGAGCGGGGUGAUGGUGCUUGCACUAUCACUUAGCGGCGGACGGGUGAGUAAUGCUUAGGAAUCUGCCUAUUAGUGGGGGACAACAUCUCGAAAGGGAUGCUAAUACCGCAUACGUCCUACGGGAGAAAGCAGGGGAUCACUUGUGACCUUGCGCUAAUAGAUGAGCCUAAGUCGGAUUAGCUAGUUGGUGGGGUAAAGGCCUACCAAGGCGACGAUCUGUAGCUGGUCUGAGAGGAUGAUACGCCACACUGGGACUGAGACACGGCCAAGACUCGUACGGGAGGCAGCAGUGGGGAAAAUUGGACAAUGGGGGGAACCCUUAUCCAGCCAUGCCGCGUGUGUGAAGAAGGCCUUAUGGUUGUAAAGCACUUUAAGCGAGGAGGAGGCUCUUUCGUUUAAUACCCAAGAUGAAUGGACGUUACUCGCAGAAUAAGCACCGGCUAACUCUGUGCCAGCCGCCGCGGUAA
rnacentral:rRNA from 1 species